UACGAAGGGGGCUAGCGUUGCUCGGAAUUACUGGGCGUAAAGCGCACGUAGGCGGAUUGUUAAGUCGGGGGUGAAAUCCUGGAGCUCAACUCCAGAACUGCCUUCGAUACUGGCGAUCUCGAGUUCGGGAGAGGUGAGUGGAACUGCGAGUGUAGAGGUGAAAUUCGUAGAUAUUCGCAAGAACACCAGUGGCGAAGGCGGCUCACUGGCCCGGAACUGACGCUGAGACGCGAAAGCGUGGGGAGCAAACAGGG
rnacentral:rRNA from 1 species